GAUGAACGCUGGCGGCGUGCCUAAUACAUGCAAGUCGAGCGAACGGACGAGAAGCUUGCUUCUCUGAUGUUAGCGGCGGACGGGUGAGUAACACGUGGAUAACCUACCUAUAAGACUGGGAUAACUUCGGGAAACCGGAGCUAAUACCGGAUAAUAUUUUGAACCGCAUGGUUCAAAAGUGAAAGACGGUCUUGCUGUCACUUAUAGAUGGAUCCGCGCUGCAUUAGCUAGUUGGUAAGGUAACGGCUUACCAAGGCAACGAUGCAUAGCCGACCUGAGAGGGUGAUCGGCCACACUGGAACUGAGACACGGUCCAGACUCCUACGGGAGGCAGCAGUAGGGAAUCUUCCGCAAUGGGCGAAAGCCUGACGGAGCAACGCCGCGUGAGUGAUGAAGGUCUUCGGAUCGUAAAACUCUGUCAUUAGGGAAGAACAUAUGUGUAAGUAACUGUGCACAUCUUGACGGUACCUAAUCAGAAAGCCACGGCUAACUACGUGCCAGCAGCCGCGGUAAUACGUAGGUGGCAAGCGUUAUCCGGAAUUAUUGGGCGUAAAGCGCGCGUAGGCGGUUUUUUAAGUCUGAUGUGAAAGCCCACGGCUCAACCGUGGAGGGUCAUUGGAAACUGGAAAACUUGAGUGCAGAAGAGGAAAGUGGAAUUCCAUGUGUAGCGGUGAAAUGCGCAGAGAUAUGGAGGAACACCAGUGGCGAAGGCGACUUUCUGGUCUGUAACUGACGCUGAUGUGCGAAAGCGUGGGGAUCAAACAGGAUUAGAUACCCUGGUAGUCCACGCCGUAAACGAUGAGUGCUAAGUGUUAGGGGGUUUCCGCCCCUUAGUGCUGCAGCUAACGCAUUAAGCACUCCGCCUGGGGAGUACGACCGC
rnacentral:rRNA from 1 species